rnacentral:rRNA from 1 species
AGCGAACGCUGGCGGCGUGCCUAAUACAUGCAAGUCGAACGAGAAAGUUCUUCGGAAUGAGUACAGUGGCGCACGGGUGAGUAAUGCGUAGGUGACAUGCCUUAUUGUGGGGGACAACUUCGGGAAACCGGAGCUAAUACCGCAUAAGCUCGCAAGAGGAAAGGUGGCGCAAGCUAUCGCAAUAAGAUUGGCCUACGUAACAUUAGCUAGUUGGUGGGGUAAAGGCCUACCAAGGCGACGAUGUUUAACUGGUCUGAGAGGAUGAUCAGUCACACUGGAACUGAGACACGGUCCAGACUCCUACGGGAGGCAGCAGUAGGGAAUAGUGCGCAAUGGGGGAAACCCUGACGCAGCAACGCCGCGUGAGUGAGGAAGGCCUUCGGGUUGUAAACUGCUUUUGUACGGAACGAAACGGUCUGGGUUAAUACCCUGGGCUAAUGACGGUACCGUAAGAAUAAGCACCGGCUAACUACGUGCCAGCCGCCGCAGUAACAC